rnacentral:rRNA from 1 species
AACGAACGCUGGCGGCGUGGAUAAGACAUGCAAGUCGAACGGGAACUUCAGCUGUAGCAAUACAGUUGAAGUUUUAGUGGCGAACGGGUGCGUAACACGUGGGCAAUCUGCCGAGAAGUGGGGGAUAGCUCGCCGAAAGGCGAAUUAAUACCGCAUAUGAUCAGCUAAGACAUCUUAGCGACAUCAAAGCCGGGGCAACCUGGCGCUUUUUGAGGAGCCCGCGGCCUAUCAGCUAGUUGGUGAGGUAACGGCUCACCAAGGCUAUGACGGGUAGCUGGUCUGAGAGGACGACCAGUCACACUGGAACUGAGACACGGUCCAGACACCUACGGGUGCAGCAGUCGAGAAUUUUUCUCAAUGGGGCAACCCUGAAGGAGCGACGCCGCGUGGAGGACGAAGGCUUUCGGGUUGUAAACUCCUGUCAUUUGAGAACAAGGUGCAUCGGUUAACUGCCGAUGCAUUGAUAGUAUCAGAAGAGGAAGAGAC